CCUACGGGUGGCAGCAGUGAGGAAUAUUGGUCAAUGGGCGUAAGCCUGAACCAGCCAAGUCGCGUGAGGGAUGAAGGUUCUAUGGAUCGUAAAUCUCUUUUAUAAGGGAAUAAAGUGUGGGACGUGUCCUGUUUUGUAUGUACCUUAUGAAUAAGGCUCGGCUAACUCCGUGCCAGCAGCCGCGGUAAUACGGAGGGUCCUCGCGUGAUCCGGAUUUAUUGGGUUUAAAGGGUGCGUAGGCGGCCUUUUAAGUCAGCGGUGAAAGUCUGUGGCUCAACCAUAGAAUUGCCGUUGAAACUGGGAGGCUUGAGUAUGUUUGAGGCAGGCGGAAUGCGUGGUGUAGCGGUGAAAUGCUUAGAUAUCACGCAGAACCCCGAUUGCGAAGGCAGCCUGCCAAGCCAUGACUGACGCUGAUGCACGAAAGCGUGGGGAUCAAACAGGAUUAGAUACCCGAGUAGUC
rnacentral:rRNA from 1 species